rnacentral:rRNA from 1 species
UCCUGGCUCAGGAUGAACGCUGGCGGCGUGCUUAACACAUGCAAGUCGAACGAAGCAGUUUUGAAGAAGCCUUCGGGUGGAAUUGAGAUUGACUGAGUGGCGGACGGGUGAGUAACGCGUGGGUAAUCUGCCUCAUACAGGGGGAUAACAGUUAGAAAUGACUGCUAAUACCGCAUAAGCGCACAGAGCUGCAUGGCUCGGUGUGAAAAACUCCGGUGGUAUGAGAUGAGCCCGCGUCUGAUUAGGUAGUUGGUGAGGUAACGGCCCACCAAGCCGACGAUCAGUAGCCGACCUGAGAGGGUGAUCGGCCACAUUGGGACUGAGACACGGCCCAAACUCCUACGGGAGGCAGCAGUGGGGAAUAUUGCACAAUGGGGGAAACCCUGAUGCAGCGACGCCGCGUGAAGGACGACGUAUUUCGGUAUGUAAACUUCUAUCAGCAGGGAAGAUAAUGACGGUACCUGACUAAGAAGCCCCGGCUAACUACGUGCC